AUUGAACGCUGGCGGCAUGCUUUACACAUGCAAGUCGAACGGUAACAGGGAGCUUGCUCCGCUGACGAGUGGCGAACGGGUGAGUAAUGCGUAGGAACGUGCCGAGUAGUGGGGGAUAACGCAUCGAAAGGUGUGCUAAUACCGCAUACGUACUGAGGUAGAAAGUGGGGGACCUUCGGGCCUCACGCUAUUCGAGCGGCCGACGUCUGAUUAGCUAGUUGGUGAGGUAAAGGCUCACCAAGGCGACGAUCAGUUGCGGGUCUGAGAGGAUGAUCCGCCACACUGGGACUGAGACACGGCCCAGACUCCUACGGGAGGCAGCAGUGGGGAAUUUUGGACCGUGGGCGCAAGCCUGAUCCAGCCAUGCCGCGUGUCUGAAGAAGGCCUUCGGGUUGUAAAGGACUUUUGUCCGGGAGCAAAUGCCUGGUGUUAAUAGCACUGGGAGCUGAGAGUACCGGAAGAAUAAGCACCGGCUAACUACGUGCCAGCCGCCGCCGUAACAC
rnacentral:rRNA from 1 species